rnacentral:rRNA from 1 species
CCCAUUGGCGCAGCCUAACACAUGCAAGUCGAGCGGCAGCGCAAGGGAGUUUACUCCUGAGGUGGCGAGCGGCGGACGGGUGAGUAAUGCCUAGGGAUCUGCCCAGUCGAGGGGGAUAACAGUUGGAAACGACUGCUAAUACCGCAUACGCCCUACGGGGGAAAGGAGGGGACCUUCGGGCCUUCCGCGAUUGGAUGAACCUAGGUGGGAUUAGCUAGUUGGUGAGGUAAUGGCUCACCAAGGCGACGAUCCCUAGCUGUUCUGAGAGGAUGAUCAGCCACACUGGGACUGAGACACGGCCCAGACUCCUACGGGAGGCAGCAGUGGGGAAUAUUGCACAAUGGGGGAAACCCUGAUGCAGCCAUGCCGCGUGUGUGAAGAAGGCCUUCGGGUUGUAAAGCACUUUCAGUAGGGAGGAAAGGGUGUAGUUUAAUACGCUAUAUCUGUGACGUUACCUACAGAAGAAGGACCGGCUAACUCCGUGCCAGCAGCCGCGGUAAUACGGAGGGUCCGAGCGUUAAUCGGAAUUACUGGGCGUAAAGCGUGCGCAGGCGGUUUGUUAAGCGAGAUGUGAAAGCCCUGGGCUCAACCUAGGAAUAGCAUUUCGAACUGGCGAACUAGAGUCUUGUAGAGGGGGGUAGAAUUCCAGGUGUAGCGGUGAAAUGCGUAGAGAUCUGGAGGAAUACCGGUGGCGAAGGCGGCCCCCUGGACAAAGACUGACGCUCAUGCACGAAAGCGUGGGGAGCAAACAGGAUUAGAUACCCUGGUAGUCCACGCCGUAAACGAUGUCUACUCGGAGUUUGGUGUCUUGAACACUGGGCUCUCAAGCUAACGCAUUAAGUAGACCGCCUGGGGAGUACGGCCGCAAGGUUAAAACUCAAAUGAAUUGACGGGGGCCCGCACAAGCGGUGGAGCAUGUGGUUUAAUUCGAUGCAACGCGAAAACCUUACCUACUCUUGACAUCCAGAGAAUUCGCUAGAGAUAGCUUAGUGCCUUCGGGAACUUCUGAGACAGGUGCUGCAUGG